UUGAGAGGAUCUGUCCCUAGUACGAGAGGACCGGGAUGGACGAAUCACUGGUGUACCAGUUGUCUCGCCAGAGGCAUCGCUGGGUAGCUAUAUUCGGAACGGAUAAGAGCUGAAAGCAUCUAAGUGCGAAACCGACCUUAAGAUGAGAUUUCCCAUAGAGUUAAUCUGGUAAGACUCCUGAAAGAUGAUCAGGUUGAUAGGCCGGAAGUGGAAGCGUGGUGACACGUGGAGCGGAUUGGUACUAAUAGGUCGAGGUCUUGACCUA
rnacentral:ncRNA from 1 species